rnacentral:rRNA from 1 species
GUCGAACGGUAACAGGAAGCAGCUUGCUGCUUCGCUGACGAGUGGCGGACGGGUGAGUAAUGUCUGGGAAGCUGCCUGAUGGAGGGGGAUAACUACUGGAAACGGUAGCUAAUACCGCAUAAUGUCGCAAGACCAAAGAGGGGGACCUUCGGGCCUCUUGCCAUCGGAUGUGCCCAGAUGGGAUUAGCUUUGUUGGUGGGGUAACGGCUCACCAAGGCGACGAUCCCUAGCUGGUCUGAGAGGAUGACCAGCCACACUGGAACUGAGACACGGUCCAGACUCCUACGGGAGGCAGCAGUGGGGAAUAUUGCACAAUGGGCGCAAGCCUGAUGCAGCCAUGCCGCGUGUAUGAAGAAGGCCUUCGGGUUGUAAAGUACUUUCAGCGGGGAGGAAGGGAGUAAAGUUAAUACCUUUGCUCAUUGACGUUACCCGCAGAAGAAGCACCGGCUAACUCCGUGCCAGCAGCCGCGGUAAUACGGAGGGUGCAAGCGUUAAUCGGAAUUACUGGGCGUAAAGCGCACGCAGGCGGUUUGUUAAGUCAGAUGUGAAAUCCCCGGGCUCAACCUGGGAACUGCAUCUGAUACUGGCAAGCUUGAGUCUCGUAGAGGGGGGUAGAAUUCCAGGUGUAGCGGUGAAAUGCGUAGAGAUCUGGAGGAAUACCGGUGGCGAAGGCGGCCCCCUGGACGAAGACUGA